CGGCGCGGGUCCGGCGGAGCGAGCCCGCACCGCCCCGGUGCGCCGGGCCGCGCCGACCCUCCCGGGACGCGGCCGCAACACGUGGAGCCAACUUUUGAGGGACGCGUGUCUGCGCCGGACGGGAGCCCCGCCGCCCGGGACCGCAACGCUGCACGGAGCAAGCUCGUCUCUCUCCGGUUUGAUGGCUUUGGGUGUUGGAUUUUGGCUUUUUUUUUUUUUUUUUUUUUUUUUUUUUUUCUUUCUGCUUUUGGGUGGUUUUGGUAUUUUUCCCCUCUUUCCCCUACUUCUCUGGUGCUCGUGUGUUGGGACACUUCAAUCUCGCUGGGGCAAACGCCGCGUUUGAAAAGCCGAGAGAAAUGUUGCAACGUCCCUUGUGGCAACGCAUUUUAUUUAUUUAUUUUUAUUUUUUGCCUUUUGCAAGGGCAAAGAGGAAGGGUAGGAAAAAACCCACCGUGAUCAAUACCGGUUUAAAUACCCAUCUGCGAGUCCCUCGGCUGCGGGAGGCAGGAGAGGGGAGCGCAGCCGCCCGCCCGCAGCCGCUGCUCCCCGCUCGGCUGUAGCUCAGCCCGAGCCCUUCCCGUGCGGAUUCCCGAGGACCUGCGGCUCUGGGCGGGCAGGCGGCGGCGGGGGCCCACGAGCCCCUUUCCCGUGCCCCCUCCCCACUCAGAGCAGGUAACGGAGGGGCUCGGGAUUUUCUGUCCGUUUGGUGUUUUCGCUCCCGCCUCUCCGCGCACGAAGUUCCCGCAGGAGCGGGAGCGGGAUCAGCGGUGCCGAGUCACGAUGGGCGUCGGGGCCCGGCCCGAGGUGCGGGACCGGCUCCGGGAGCCGGGACCGAGACAGCUCUCAAGUUCGGGGAGGGGGCGGCGCGGAUCGCCGCCUCCCUCGGCCGGGGGAAUGAUCCCGCUCCGGCGGGGUCCCCGAUGGCCCCGGGGCGGGGGCUCUGCGCUGGCCGGGGUUUCGUUAAAGAUAGCGGUGAGUAGUGGUCGCCUGCGCCUGAUGGGCGAGCUGAGGGCUGGGUCUUUGCGGGCGAGAUGAGAGGUUCGUGUCUUCAACUGGCCUACAAAGUCCCAGUUCUCGGCUCCCGGGACCUGCCGGGCGCGCAGCGGGCGAAGACGGAGCGCGGCGGCGCCGCUGGCGCUGCCCGGGGCCGCUCGGGCGGGACGCGGGGCCCGGCCCGGGCGGGUCGGCUCCGGGCACGGCGGGCGGUGCUCGGGCGGCCCUCGGGGACCGCGGCUGGCCCGGCGCUGGGGCCGGCGGGUGCCGGGCUCGCCGCGGGGAGAGGACGGAGCUGGUUCUCCGCGAACCGAGCAUUUCAACUGCUUUUCUUAAAGCUGAAUUCUUUAUAAAGGAGGAGUGACUAGAAACCCUGAGCUGAGUCCCAGGUCUGGCUUAACUUUGUAAGGCACAUUGACACACUGAGGCUGCUCCACUUAAGGUAUGGUAUGAACCAGGAGCUGAUCCCGUGGCUGUGGAAUGAGUGUUCACAUGGAGUCAUCCUGCUGUAGCUAUUGCAGCUGCUGUGUAAGCAAGUCCUAAAGGGCAAUCCUUGUCCCAGUGACAGAUAAGACAGACAAUGGGCACAAGGAAGGCACCGCUAUCAAUGAAGGAUGGAUUCUGUUCAACCCGCAGGGAACAAAGAAACCUGGGCUGCUCAAGGCCCCACAGAACUAGCCAGGAGGGUCCUUGUGCCAGCUGAAUCCAGGAAUGUGACACUUUUGGAACUGUUUGUGUCAGGACUUUCUGCUUUGACACCAGUGAUUUCUGAGACUGCCUCAUCAUAGGAAACCCCAGAUCUGCUACUCCUUUCCACAAGGAUUCUGUAUCCAGCAACUCUUCUGUCUUCUUUGGAUACUGAAACGAGAUGAAAGGGCUUGAAUGUUUCCUUGGCAAGAUGGGUGGAUGGAAUUAGUUUAAUCUGUUCUGAUUCUGACACCUACAAGUCAAGUGACCCAAUCAUCUCUUCUGCUAACAGGCUGCAAAGCAACACUCUACUACUAUGGAAUAUUUUUUGUGAUGAAAACAGGAGGAUCGGGAAUGGGGGUUUGUAACUUUUUUGGAUGAGUUUCUGUUACAAUUUUUAUCUUUAGUAUCAACACUUUAAAUCAGGAUAUUUAUAUGGUAAAAUAAAUACAUUUUUGCUCUGAAAUAC